rnacentral:rRNA from 1 species
GAUGAACGCUGGCGGCGUGCCUAAUACAUGCAAGUCGAGCGAACAGACGAGGAGCUUGCUCCUCUGACGUUAGCGGCGGACGGGUGAGUAACACGUGGAUAACCUACCUAUAAGACUGGGAUAACUUCGGGAAACCGGAGCUAAUACCGGAUAAUAUAUUGAACCGCAUGGUUCAAUAGUGAAAGACGGUUUUGCUGUCACUUAUAGAUGGAUCCGCGCCGCAUUAGCUAGUUGGUAAGGUAACGGCUUACCAAGGCAACGAUGCGUAGCCGACCUGAGAGGGUGAUCGGCCACACUGGAACUGAGACACGGUCCAGACGCCUACGGGAGGCAGCAGUAGGGAAUCUGCCGCAAUGGGCGAAAGCCUGACGGAGCAACGCCGCGUGAGUGGUGAAGGUCUUCGGAUCGUAAAACUCUGUUAUUAGGGAAGAACAAAUGUGUAAGUAACUAUGCACGUCUUGACGGUACCUAAUCAGAAAGCCACGGCUAACUACGUG